rnacentral:rRNA from 1 species
GACGAACGCUGGCGGCGUGCUUAACACAUGCAAGUCGAACGGAAAGGCCCUGCUUUUGUGGGGUGCUCGAGUGGCGAACGGGUGAGUAACACGUGAGUAACCUGCCCUUGACUUUGGGAUAACUUCAGGAAACUGGGGCUAAUACCGGAUAGGAGCUCCUGCUGCAUGGUGGGGGUUGGAAAGUUUCGGCGGUUGGGGAUGGACUCGCGGCUUAUCAGCUUGUUGGUGGGGUAGUGGCUUACCAAGGCUUUGACGGGUAGCCGGCCUGAGAGGGUGACCGGCCACAUUGGGACUGAGAUACGGCCCAGACUCCUACGGGAGGCAGCAGUGGGGAAUAUUGCACAAUGGGCGGAAGCCUGAUGCAGCAACGCCGCGUGCGGGAUGACGGCCUUCGGGUUGUAAACCGCCUUCGCCUGUGACGAAGCGUGAGUGACGGGAAUGGGUAAAGAAGCACCGGCUAACUACGU